UAGGGAAUCUUCGGCAAUGGACGAAGUCUGACCGAGCAACGCCGCGUGAGUGAAGAAGGUUUUCGGAUCGUAAAACUCUGUUGGUAGAGAAGAACGUUGGUGAGAGUGGAAAGCUCAUCAAGUGACGGUAACUACCCAGAAAGGGACGGCUAACUACGUGCCAGCAGCCGCGGUAAUACGUAGGUCCCGAGCGUUGUCCGGAUUUAUUGGGCGUAAAGCGAGCGCAGGUGGUUUAUUAAGUCUGGUGUAAAAGGCAGUGGCUCAACCAUUGUAUGCAUUGGAAACUGGUAGACUUGAGUGCAGGAGAGGAGA
rnacentral:rRNA from 1 species